ensembl:rRNA 5S_rRNA 5S ribosomal RNA
GUCUACGGCCAUACCCCCCGAACGCCUACGAGCUCAUCUGAUCUCGGAAGCUAAGCAGGGUCGGGCCCGGUUAGAACUUGGAUGGGAGACCAAAUGGCGAAAGCGCUGGGCCUUCUUCC